rnacentral:rRNA from 1 species
GAUGAACGCUGGCGGCGUGCCUAAUACAUGCAAGUCGAGCGAACAGACGAGGAGCUUGCUCCUUUGACGUUAGCGGCGGACGGGUGAGUAACACGUAGGUAACCUACCUAUAAGACUGGGAUAACUUCGGGAAACCGGAGCUAAUACCGGAUAAUAUUUCGAACCGCAUGGUUCGAUAGUGAAAGAUGGCUUUGCUAUCACUUAUAGAUGGACCUGCGCCGUAUUAACUAGUUGGUAAGGUAACGGCUUACCAAGGCAACGAUACGUAGCCGACCUGAGAGGGUGAUCGGCCACACUGGAACUGAGACACGGUCCAGACUCCUACGGGAGGCAGCAGUAGGGAAUCUUCCGCAAUGGGCGAAAGCCUGACGGAGCAACGCCGCGUGAGUGAUGAAGGUCUUCGGAUCGUAAAACUCUGUUAUUAGGGAAGAACAAACGUGUAAGUAACUGUGCACGUCUUGACGGUACCUAAUCAGAAAGCCACGGCUAACUACGUG